UGACGACCAUAGAGCAUUGGAACCACCUGAUCCCAUCCCGAACUCAGCAGUGAAACGAUGCAUCGCCGAUGGUAGUGUGGAGCUUCUCCAUGUGAGAGUAGGUCAUCGUCAAGAUU
rnacentral:rRNA from 1 species